UGGGGAAUUUUGGACAAUGGGGGAAACCCUGAUCCAGCCAUCCCGCGUGUGCGAUGAAGGCCUUCGGGUUGUAAAGCACUUUUGGCAGGAAAGAAACGUCAUGGGUUAAUACCCCGUGAAACUGACGGUACCUACAGAAUAAGCACCGGCUAACUACGUGCCAGCAGCCGCGGUAAUACGUAGGGUGCAAGCGUUAAUCGGAAUUACUGGGCGUAAAGCGUGCGCAGGCGGUUCGGAAAGAAAGAUGUGAAAUCCCAGAGCUCAACUUUGGAACUGCAUUUUUAACUACCGGGCUAGAGUGUGUCAGAGGGAGGUGGAAUUCCGCGUGUAGCAGUGAAAUGCGUAGAUAUGCGGAGGAACACCGAUGGCGAAGGCAGCCUCCUGGGAUAACACUGACGCUCAUGCGCGAAAGCGUGGGGAGCAAACAGG
rnacentral:rRNA from 1 species